rnacentral:rRNA from 1 species
UACAGGGGGUGCAAACGUUGCUCGGAAUCAUUGGGCGUAAAGCGCACGUAGGCGGUUCGUUAUGUCGGAUGUGAAAGCCCUUGGCUUAACCGAGGAAGUGCAUCCGAAACUGGCGAGCUAGAGUACUAAAGAGGAUCGCGGAAUUCCCGGUGUAGGAGGUGAAAUUCGUAGAUAUCGGGAGGAACACCGGUGGCGAAGGCGGCGAUCUGGGUAGAUACUGACGCCUGAGGUGCGAAAGCGUGGGGAGCAAACAGG